rnacentral:tRNA from 1 species
GCGGAAGUGGCGGAAUGGCAGACGCGCUAGGUUGAGGGCCUAGUGGUAGCAAUACUGUGGGGGUUCAAAUCCCCCCUUCCGCA